rnacentral:rRNA from 1 species
GAUGAACGCUGGCGGCGUGCCUAAUACAUGCAAGUCGAGCGAACAGACGAGGAGCUUGCUCCUCUGACGUUAGCGGCGGACGGGUGAGUAACACGUGGAUAACCUACCUAUAAGACUGGGAUAACUUCGGGAAACCGGAGCUAAUACCGGAUAAUAUAUUGAACCGCAUGGUUCAAUAGUGACAGACGGUUUUGCUGUCACUUAUAGAUGGAUCCGCGCCGCAUUAGCUAGUUGGUAAGGUAACGGCUUACCAAGGCAACGAUGCGUAGCCGACCUGAGAGGGUGAUCGGCCACACUGGAACUGAGACACGGUCCAGACUCCUACGGGAGGCAGCAGUAGGGAAUCUUCCGCAAUGGGCGAAAGCUUGACGGAGCAACGCCGCGUGAGUGAUGAAGGUCUUCGGAUCGUAAAACUCUGUUAUUAGGGAAGAACAAAUGUGUAAGUAACUAUGCACGUCUUGACGGUGCCUAAUCAGAAAGCCACGGCUAACUACGUG